ensembl:lncRNA
AAAAAAGCGUUGUCAAACCGGGAUAUGCGUUGUUCAAACUGUUUACCUGAUUUGUUAAAAUAAUCAAAACCAUAACCCUAGUUGAUUGGAUGGUUGAAGAACGCCUAUCAGGUCUGAAGACGCCCAUUGAUUGGGAAACGCCCACUUAUGCUCUGCAGAGACCAGUACACCCAACGCACUAAUCACCCUUUAGUAUAUACUGUUUAACUGGCUUGUCUAGUGCAGCAUUAAUAGUGUGAUCAUUCUCUUACAAGCUACAAUAGUUACCAUAACACAACAAUUCAGCUAGUCACCUUAAAACAUCAGUUCAGCUAGUCACCUUAAAACAUCAGUUCAGCUAGUCACCUUAAAACAUCAGUUCAGCUAGUCACCUUAAAACAUCAGUUCAGCUAGUCACCUUAACAUAACAAUUCAGCUCGUCAUCAUUACAAAACAGUUCAGCUAGUCACAUUAAAACAACAGUUCAGCUAGUCACCUUAACAUAACAGUUCAGCUCGUCAUAACAAAACAGUUCAGCUAGUCACAUUAACAUAACAGUUCAGCUAGUCACAUUAAAACAACAGUUCAGCUAGUCACCUUAACAUAACAGUUCAGCUCGUCAUAACAAAACAGUUCAGCUAGUCACCUUAACAAAACAGUUCAGCUCGUCAUAACAAAACAGUUCAGCUAGUCACAUUAACAUAACAGUUCAGCUAGUCACAUUAACAUAACAGUUCAGCUAGUCACAUUAACAUAACAGUUCAGCUAGUCAUAAUAACAAAACAGAUCAGCUAGUCACAAUAACAGUUCAGUGAGUCAUCAUAACAGUACAGCUUCACUGUGAAUAUUUCCAGUGUCCACGUAUACCCACAACUUGCGCUUUUGUGGUGUUUGUAAUCUUUACCCUAACGACUUGUUUAUUCUGUACAAUACAGACGUCUGCCCCAGGAGCCUACAAGCACAUUUUUCAAAAUAGGCCUUUUACUAGAUUUCAGGAUCUCGGUUGAACCUGUCAAGACUAAUCUUUUGCCCUGCAAAAGAUAUGGACUUGUUUAACCCUGGU